GUGGGAGGGGGCUUGCUCCCGAUAGCGGUCUAUCAGUUGAAAUAAUGUGACUGACACACCGCAAUCGGGAGCAAGCCCCCUCCCAC
rnacentral:misc_RNA from 1 species